GAUGAACGCUGGCGGCGUGCCUAAUACAUGCAAGUCGAGCGAACAGACGAGAAGCUUGCUCCUCUGAUGUUAGCGGCGGACGGGUGAGUAACACGUGGAUAACCUACCUAUAAGACUGGGAUAACUUCGGGAAACCGGAGCUAAUACCGGAUAAUAUAUUGAACCGCAUGGUUCAAUAGUGAAAGACGGUUUUGCUGUCACUUAUAGAUGGAUCCGCGCCGCAUUAGCUAGUUGGUAAGGUAACGGCUUACCAAGGCAACGAUGCGUAGCCGACCUGAGAGGGUGAUCGGCCACACUGGAACUGAGACACGGUCCAGACUCCUACGGGAGGCAGCAGUAGGGAAUCUUCCGCAAUGGGCGAAAGCCUGACGGAGCAACGCCGCGUGAGUGAUGAAGGUCUUCGGAUCGUAAAACUCUGUUAUUAGGGAAGAACAAAUGUGUAAGUAACUAUGCACGUCUUGACGGUACCUAAUCAGAAAGCCACGGCUAACUACGUG
rnacentral:rRNA from 1 species